CCACCAUGUUUGCAUAAAAAGGCAUUUUUAAUGGAGUAAGGUCAUCCCUUCUCAGAAAGUAGAGGCCUCUUUCUCCACCAAAAGUCCUGUUUUUCAUACAUACACAUACCUGCUAACUUUAAUAUCCUGCUCCGAAAAGUCAAGUAGGAAAUUAUUUAAGAGCUACAAUACAUAUAAGGCGACCCACAACCCUAUUCCUGAGAAAAAAGCUUUGUGACCCCUAGGCUGGGAAAUACAGGUUUGUGCUUUAUAGACAAUAGCCAAGCCUUUGACUGUGUGGAUCAUGAGAAACUAUGGGUUGUUCUGAAAGAAUAGGGUGUGCCUUAGCACUUGAUUGCCUUCAUAUGCAACCUAUAUUGUGGACAAGAAGUUACCAUUAGGACAGAAUAUGGAGAGACAGAAUUGCCUAUAGGCAACAGAGUGAAACAAGGGUGCAUUUAUCUGUUCAAUCUGUACACAUAACAUGUCAUAUGGAAAUCCAAACUAGAUUCAGAUGAAGAUAAGAGUAAAAAUUGAUGG